rnacentral:rRNA from 1 species
AUCAUGGAGAGUUUGAUCCUGGCUCAGAACGAACGCUGGCGGCGCGUCUUAAGCAUGCAAGUCGGGCGGCAAGGGGGAGCAAUCCCUCCUAGAGCGGCGGACUGGUGAGUAACGCGUGGGUGACCUGCCCUGAGGACGGGGAUAGCCAUUAGAAAUAGUGGGUAAUACCGGAUAUGGUUAUCGUGCUAUGGCAUGGUAAAGAAAGGAGCUAAGGCUCCGCCUCGGGAUGGGCCCGCGUCCCAUUAGCUAGUUGGAGGGGUAAGAGCCUGCCAAGGCGAUGAUGGGUAGCCGGCCUGAGAGGGUGAACGGCCACACUGGGACUGAGAUACGGCCCAGACUCCUACGGGAGGCAGCAGCUAAGAAUAUUCCGCAAUGGGCGAAAGCCUGA